UACGUAGGGUGCAAGCGUUGUCCGGAAUUAUUGGGCGUAAAGAGCUCGUAGGCGGUUUGUCGCGUCUGGUGUGAAAAAUCCAGGGGCUUAACCCCUGGACCUGCAUCGGGGUACGGGCAGACUAGAGUGCGGUAGGGGGAGAUCGGAAUUCCUGGUGUAGCGGUGAAAUGCGCAGAUAUCAGGAGGAACACCGGUGGCGAAGGCGGUUCUCUGGGCAUGUCCUGACGCUGAGGAGCGAAAGUGUGGGGAGCGAACAGG
rnacentral:rRNA from 1 species